rnacentral:miRNA from 1 species
UGCUCAUUGCAUGGGCUGUGUA